GAGCGAGUUGACGCGCUUCCGGACGCAGGUGAGAGAGCAGCUGUCAUGAGCGCGUGGAUGAAAAAGAAAAGCGACUGCCUCGCGUUCUUCGCUUGGACGCUGCGGUCUUGAUCUUUUGAGACUGAAAAAUAAUCACAAUAACAGUUCAUCCGCGGGAAACACAUCAGUUUCUCAGGUUAAAGUUCCCUUCCAAAAUGUAAAAGCGUGACCACUGUGUAGUCACAAUUAACCAGCAUCAUGAGUUUGGAGAGCGCGUCGGCCCUGUUCAUGCCGGUGUUGUUCCUGCUGGCUCUGGUCUUGGUUCUGUUCUCGUGCGUCCUCCGUAAGAGGCAGAAGAUGGAGGGAUCAUACCAGCCCGGUGCGGAGGAGCGCAAACAGGCCAGGAACCACAGAGCCGAGAGACCCGGGCUCGCUCUCCCGCUGCCCAAAGAGGAGAGACUGAUCUGAACGAUGCUGAAAGCCCACCACAGAACUUUCAUUGUAACUUAAUAUUGAUAUUUAUGUGGAGUCCACACACGUGUGCAGUCCUGACAACCAAGUGAAGGAUCAUGGAUGGAGAACCUAUGAAGUGGUGGUGGGUAUUCAUCUGACAUUUUUGAAAGAAUGGCGAGAAUGCUUUCACUUCACAAUGCACUGCUAAUGCUGACAAAUCCAUUCAAGUAUGCAUGAAGAGGUUUUGCUAUCACACUUGGGAUCACACUUGGGAUAACUGAAGACAAUAGGAAGUGCAUUCAUCAAAAAUAAAAUAGAAGCCAGAAUGGUUUACAAGGAGAGCCAAAGUUUGACUUCACCUGUACUUUGUUUACUCACCUGAGAGUCUUUAUGAAGGAGCCACAUGGCAGCUUUACCUCCAAAAUAGUUUACCAUUGUAAUACUGAAUACUUUAAAUGGCUUAAAUGUGAAUGUUAUGGUGCAGGUAAUUUAUUUUGUUUAUUUGUAUUUUUUUUGGAGAGAAAAAUAUAUACUGCACAAAUGUUGUUUUGUAUUAGAUUAGCAUUUCUGUAAUAUCUGUAACACAUCCAUAUUUUUUGAUCCUAACGUGAUGAAGUGACUGUGUAUGAUUAAUUAAAAUGCAUCUGUGAGUAAACAA